rnacentral:rRNA from 1 species
GACAGAGGAUGCAAGCGUUAUCCGGAAUGAUUGGGCGUAAAGCGUCUGUAGGUGGCUUUUUAAGUCCGCCGUCAAAUCCCAGGGCUCAACCCUGGACAGGCGGUGGAAACUACCAAGCUGGAGUACGGUAGGGGCAGGAGGGAAUUUCCGGGUGGAGCGGUGAAAUGACGUAGAGAUCGGAAAGAACACCAACGGCGAAAGCACUCUGCUGGGCCGACACUGGCACUGAGAGACGAAAGCUAGGGGAGCGAAUGGG